GAUGAAGAACGUAGCGAAAUGCGAUAAGUAAUGUGAAUUGCAGAAUUCAGUGAAUCAUCGAAUCUUUGAACGCAUCUUGUGCUCCUUGGUAUUCUGAGGAGCAUGCCUGUUUGAGUGUCAUUAAAUUCUCAACUACACUGACUUUGAAUUGGUGUGGCUUGGAUUUGGGGGGAAAAUUGUUGUGGGCUUUUUGUAUAGUCUGCUCCCCUGAAAUUGAUUAGCGGUACCUUUGUGGAACUGUCUACAGGUGUGAUAAUUAUCUACAUCUUAGACAUCUGCUGGAAUGCUGCUUUCUAAACCUUACUUGUAUUGACAAUCUUGACCUCAAAUCAGGUAGGACUACCCGCUGAACUUAAGCAUAUCAUAAGCGGAGGA
rnacentral:misc_RNA from 1 species